UGUGAAGUGAGAUGGUUUUCUGUUCUAGUGAAGAUGUUUCAGACUUUUAUUCAUUUGUUAUAGUAAAUGGAGUCCGAUUGGGCUGAAAUUUGGUGGAUAGAUACUGGUAAUGUAUAUAUAGCUACUGUAAAAUUUUCAUUUCGUUUUGACGACGGGAAGACUAUGAAAUCCUCCUGCAAACUGUUUAUGCCGCAAAUUUCCAUUGUUUUGAGCAGUAAACUUGUAAAAUUUAUUGUCAUAGUAAACGGGGUCUGAUUGGGCUGAAAUUUGGUGGAUAGAUACUAGGAACAUAUAGAUAGCUACUGUAUAAUUUUCAUUACGUUUUGAUGACGGGAAGACCAUGAAAUCCUCCCGUAAAACUGUUUCUCCCGGAAAGUUUCACUAUUUUGUGUAGUAAACUUGUAAAAAUUUAUUGUCAUAGUAAACAGGGACCAACUAGGCUGAAAUUUGGUGUAUGUUAACUCUGAACAUAUAGGUAGAUAUUGUAAAAUUUUCAUUACAUUUUGAUGACGAGAAGAUCAUAAAAUCCUCCCGCAAACAGACUGCUUUAACCAUCCUAAAAUCUGACAGUGAGCAUUCAUGAGAAAAUAGUUCAUCUUUUAUGUUUUAUUUUUAUUUUAUAACAUUUUGUUCCAAUAUUUUCUUAAGCUUGAUCUAUUAUAAUUGUAGAAGGAUGAAUUAUGCAGCAAAAAUGAUGUAGAUAGAGCUAUCAUGUGGAAGAAAGUACGAGUGCCUAGAAGUGGUGACAUAGAAGACGAGAAGUUGAGAAGUUAAAGAAGACUAUCUAUGAAGAAGAUUGAUAUCGAACUUAUGGCCAAAAAGAUAUUGAUGAAGUUCGUGUUGAGUGGGCAAGCUUGUUGCUGGAACACGUAUAGUAUGACAGAUUUUUAUUUUAGCUAUGUAAUAUGUCAAUACUUGAUAUUGUAAAUUUUGAAUUGAAUUUUGGAUUUGACAUUUAUAUUAAUACUUGCUACAAGAUUGUUGGAUGAAAUAUUUUGAUUUUGAAUGCAAAUGAAAUUUCUUGUAUUUUAA